rnacentral:rRNA from 1 species
GGGUUGUGAGGUUAAGCGACUAAGCGUACACGGUGGAUGCCCUGGCAGUCAGAGGCGAUGAAGGACGUGCUAAUCUGCGAUAAGCGCCGGUAAGGUGAUAUGAACCGUUAUAACCGACGAUUUCCGAAUGGGGAAACCCAGUGUGACUCGUCACACUAUCAUUAACUGAAUCCAUAGGUUAAUGAGGCGAACCGGGGGAACUGAAACAUCUAAGUACCCCGAGGAAAAGAAAUCAACCGAGAUUCCCCCAGUAGCGGCGAGCGAACGGGGAGGAGCCCAGAGCCUGAAUCAGCAUGUGUGUUAGUGGAAGCGUCUGGAAAGGCGCGCGAUACAGGGUGACAGCCCCGUACACAAAAGCGCAUGUGCUGUGAGCUCGAUGAGUAGGGCGGGACACGUGGUAUCCUGUCUGAAUAUGGGGGGACCAUCCUCCAAGGCUAAAUACUCCUGACUGACCGAUAGUGAACCAGUACCGUGAGGGAAAGGCGAAAAGAACCCCGGCGAGGGGAGUGAAAAAGAACCUGAAACCGUGUACGUACAAGCAGUGGGAGCACCUUCGGGUGUGACUGCGUACCUUUUGUAUAAUGGGUCAGCGACUUAUAUUCUGUAGCAAGGUUAACCGAAUAGGGGAGCCGUAGGGAAACCGAGUCUUAACCGGGCGUUAAGUUGCAGGGUAUAGACCCGAAACCCGGUGAUCUAGCCAUGGGCAGGUUGAAGGUUGGGUAACACUAACUGGAGGACCGAACCGACUAAUGUUGAAAAAUUAGCGGAUGACCUGUGGCUGGGGGUGAAAGGCCAAUCAAACCGGGAGAUAGCUGGUUCUCCCCGAAAGCUAUUUAGGUAGCGCCUCGUGAAUUCAUCUCCGGGGGUAGAGCACUGUUUCGGCUAGGGGGCCAUCCCGGCUUACCAACCCGAUGCAAACUGCGAAUACCGGAGAAUGUUAUCACGGGAGACACACGGCGGGUGCUAACGUCCGUCGUGAAGAGGGAAACAACCCAGACCGCCAGCUAAGGUCCCAAAGUCAUGGUUAAGUGGGAAACGAUGUGGGAAGGCUCAGACAGCCAGGAUGUUGGCUUAGAAGCAGCCAUCAUUUAAAGAAA